CAAAAAUGAAAUAAAGAUACAAAGAAAAGAAAAAAAAACCACUUCAAUGGAUGGUCUUGUUCUUGUCGUUGUCAUAAUUUUCAUUUCUGGGCUUCCCUUACGUUUUCCCUUUUUGGUUAAUUUUACUUUGUUUGGUGGUUUUUGCUUUGUCUGAAGUCGAGAUUUCUGAGCAAUGGUGAGGGGGUGGGGUAGAGGCCUUUGAAGCUCAAAGAUGAUGUACUGGGACUCUGGGUAUUUUAUUCCUCCAUAAAAAUCUCUUCUACGUUUGUUUACUAACGCUUUUCCUGGUUGAUGGGUCUUGAAUCUGAUGGAAACUUGAUAAAUUUGAGGUAAUUCUCAUGGUUUUGACAGUUGGGUUUUCUUCAUCUGUGCCUAAUAUCUCACAAUUGUCUCUGGUGGUUGAAUUUCUGGUUUUCCGACGUUGCAGAAUAGGGGACGAGGCAGGGUUGUGUUUGCUUUCUUCUCAGUGGCCAGAGGGAAGAACUUUUCAUCCUUGUUCUGUUUGCUUUCUUCUGCCUUUUUUUUUUAAAAAAAACAAAAAAAAAAAAUUAUUUUUGGUUUAUUUAUUUAUUUCUGUUUUUAGGAAUGAUACUUCACCUUUUUAGAAUCUGUCAUCAGGAUGGCCUCAAAGAAUUUCUUGGUAACGUUGAAGCAAUCAUAUCUUAGUGCUGAUUAAAAUUUUCACUGUGAAAUACUUUUUGGGAUUGCCAAAAAGGGUAUUCAAUGAAGCAUUAGAACCGUGAUUUUGAUUUGAAUUUAUGUGAUUUGUGAUACAAAAUUGAGAUUGUUUAUUCGGGUUUAUUUUAAUGUAGGAUCAGCGAUAUGUGCAUAAUCACUUUUGCUUCGUUGGAAUUGUCUUCACUUUGGGCAUUUGCUUGUCUAAUGAAUAUUGUUUCUGUUCAUUGUGUUUUUAAAGAACAUUUUGACACGCAAGUUGUUAGUUUAAAUGGAAACAUCAUUGGAGUCACUGAGUAAAAUAAAAAGAGGUCAUUUAUCGAGAUCCUAAAAUAGCUUAGACCUUGUUUGGCUGUGUGGAAUUUGGGGCCUUGGAUUGAAAACUGAAGGCCCCACAACUCCAUGGUAUCAUUGCUUUAUACCACAAUGGAUUUUGAAUUGAUUUCAAGUUCCAUAGACCUUGAAUCCACAAAUAUAGAGUGAAAGCAAGAUUUUCAAAUUCUGUUCAGUUGCCCAAUUCUAUGCAACCACAUGCUGCUUUGUUAUAAAAUAAGUGCUAAAACAUCAUUCCAAUGCUAUAACACACUUUGCAAGUUUCAAGUCCUUUUCCCUGUGAAACCCAUGAACAUAGACUUUUGCCUUCUAUUGGUCAUAAAAUAAUUAAAUUUUGGAAGAAAAUUUUGAUCAGAAAGACAGGUUGGUGUAGUAAUGAAAAAGGGUAUUAGGUCCUCAAGUAUAUGAUUCAUUAACUUUGGAAUAUGAAAAACAUUUGUAUAGAGAAUGCAAAUGUAAAAUUACUCUGAGCAUUUGGAGAAUGUAGCAUUUAGUCUAAAGGUUUGUGGUUGUAGUUGAACCUAUUGUUUGCAGUGAGACUGGGAUGUAUUUAUUUGGAGGUUGUGUCAGAGGUUAGAAAGCUGCAAAUGGCAAGAACUUUCUCCUUGUUCGCCCUGAUUCAGUAUUUAUCAGCACAAACUCAUCACGUUUUCCCAAUGCUGUCAUUCCUAUAAUUUAUGAUUUUUCAUCGUCACUAUUUCUUUCCUCCAUUUCUGAACUGGAGUUGUAGAGGUUUUUACCUUUUGUGGUGUUUAUGAAUCCCAUAUUCCUGUCUUUCAUUUAACUAGGAGUAUGUACUUUAAUCUUUCUAUUACUGUAAAACUUGGGAUUUUCUGGAUAUUGACUAUAUCUCUGUUGACAUAGUGGAGGAAUUCCACAUUCUUUCCACAGUUUGGAUCCAACCCAAUGCUGCAGGUAUGGCCCACCAUUCUUGUUACUUUCUCUGUUGGUAGUCCCCAGAUAUCCACUUGACUCCAUACUUUAGGAGUUAAUGGUAUUUCUCAUGAGUUAUCGACUAGAGGACUUUGAGUGGCAGCACAAUAAUGAAUUACCCACUAGGUAUGCUUUGUAGUGAUGCUGCUACUUGCACUUGGAUCCUGAGUGAGUGCUUUUAAUAAAUAUUGAAACCUAAUUCUCUAGUCUUACAAAGAAAUCAUGCAAUUAUUCUUUAAUAAAAUUGCUAAAAAUUGCAUGAGCAUUAUUUUUUUUCUAUUUUUUUUAUUUUUGUUUCUUUUUAGUGUUGUCUUGAGUGUAAAGUGCUUUUGUGGUUUACAGCAUGGAUUUGCUUGGAAUAUGAAUGGUUAGUUGUGUUGAUUCUGAAAUAUGGAAGGAAUUACUGUUGUGACUCUACAGCUUAAGGAUGAUCCUUAGACUAGUUCCACUUGUGAUUCCAGCUUUCACGCAGUAUGCAAGGACAUUCAGGUUAUUCCAAAUAAAAGCAACCUUCACAGUCCAUAGAAUUAGUAAUCGCAGAGACAGAAAAGAGGCUGUUUUCAUUUAAUACUGGCUUGCAAAUAGACUUCUGUGUUAGUACUAGAAUACCAUGCUUGUGAAAUCCAAAUCUUUCUGAUGUAACCAGAUUGAGAUUCUUAAUUUUCCACACAACCCAAUAAUUGGAAAAAAAUAUUCUAAAUGGCCAACUUGAGAAUGAAUUUGGAAAGUGAUGUAUAUGAGAAAAUGAAGAUACAUGGUCAUUCAAAGGUGAUACCUGAAUGAUUCUAUAUUUUGGCUAAUAAUUGGGAAUUUCAUAUAAUUUCAUGGUAACCAGUACUAACUUACAAAUUUCUAAUCAUACCCAAAUUGAUUGGGGUUACAAGUUCUUACAAAAAUCAGGACAACCUAACACUCAGGCUUCAAUGACAGAUGCAUCAGUGAGAGAUUUGAAGGUUGCAAAAUAAAAACACCAAAUAAAGAUCUGGAUCAAACUUACUCAUUGGAGGGUGAGGAGGGAAGGUUUGUGUUAAUAUGGAAAAUACGUUCAUACUUUGAGAAGCUGAAGAAUCUCACAUUUAAUCAAUGGACCAGAAUUAAACAAUUUGUAAGAUUUAUCUUAUCCAAUCCUAAUUUCCAGUUUAUAUAUAAAGGGAUGAACAAUUUGCAUGUAUGCAUGCACAUAUAUUGUGACUAAGACUUUGCAGCAGUCUCUUGCUCUUGUGGCAGAAACUGAUCUAUGCUUUCUCUGCUAUCUUAAUAUUACAAGGGAAUUAACAAUUUUUAUUGGAUUUGUAGAUUGCAUUUACCUUAAGACCUCUAAUGGUUUGUACCUUGAUAAUGGCUUAGAUUCUCUGUUAGAGUGCAUGAUCUACAUUGUAAGCCCGAAUCCUUCAAGCUUAUGCUUUUAGGAAAAUUUGUUGUCUAACAUGGAUUAUAUAUAUCAAAAAUACCAGAUACAUCAAUUGGAAACCUCGUUUGAUGCUUU